UACGUAGGGUGCAAACGUUGCUCGGAAUCAUUGGGCGUAAAGCGCACGUAGGCGGUCUGUUAUGUCGGAUGUGAAAGCCCUUGGCUUAACUGAGGAAGUGCAUCCGAAACUGGCAGGCUAGAGUACUAAAGAGGGCCGCGGAAUUCCCGGUGUAGAGGUGAAAUUCGUAGAUAUCGGGAGGGACACCGGUGGCGAAGGCGGCGACCUGGGUAGAUACUGACGCUGAGGUGCGAAAGCGUGGGGAGCAAACAGG
rnacentral:rRNA from 1 species